AGAGUUUGAUCCUGGCUCAGAUUGAACGCUGGCGGCAGGCUUAACACAUGCAAGUCGAGCGGGGAAGGGUAGCUUGCUACCUGACCUAGCGGCGGACGGGUGAGUAAUGCUUAGGAAUCUGCCUAUUAGUGGGGGACAACAUUCCGAAAGGAAUGCUAAUACCGCAUACGCCCUACGGGGGAAAGCAGGGGAUCUUCGGACCUUGCGCUAAUAGAUGAGCCUAAGUCAGAUUAGCUAAUUGGUGGGGUAAAGGCCUACCAAGGCGACGAUCUGUAGCGGGUCUGAGAGGAUGAUCCGCCACGCUGGGACUGAGACACGGCCCAGACUCCUACGGGAGGCAGCAGUGGGGAAUAUUGGACAAUGGGCGAAAGCCUGAUCCAGCCAUGCCGCGUGUGUGAAGAAGGCCUUUUGGUUGUAAAGCACUUUAAGCGAGGAGGAGGCUACUUGGAUUAAUACUCUAGGAUAGUGGACGUUACUCGCAGAAUAAGCACCGGCUAACUCUGUGCCAGCAGCCGCGGUAAUACAGAGGGUGCGAGCGUUAAUCGGAUUUACUGGGCGUAAAGCGUGCGUAGGCGGCUUCUUAAGUCGGAUGUGAAAUCCCUGAGCUUAACUUAGGAAUUGCAUUCGAUACUGGGAAGCUAGAGUAUGGGAGAGGAUGGUAGAAUUCCAGGUGUAGCGGUGAAAUGCGUAGAGAUCUGGAGGAAUACCGAUGGCGAAGGCAGCCAUCUGGCCUAAUACUGACGCUGAG
rnacentral:rRNA from 1 species